GACGAACGCUGGCGGCGUGCUUAACACAUGCAAGUCGAACGGAAAGGCCCUGCUUUUGUGGGGUGCUCGAGUGGCGAACGGGUGAGUAACACGUGAGUAACCUGCCCUUGACUUUGGGAUAACUUCAGGAAACUGGGGCUAAUACCGGAUAGGAGCUCCUGCUGCAUGGUGGGGGUUGGAAAGAUUCGGCGGUUGGGGAUGGACUCGCGGCUUAUCAGCUUGUUGGUGGGGUAGUGGCUUACAAAGGCUUUGACGGGUAGCCGGCCUGAGAGGGUGACCGGCCACAUUGGGACUGAGAUACGGCCCAGACUCCUACGGGAGGCAGCAGUGGAGAAUAUUACACAAUGGGCGGAAGCCUGAUGCAGCAACGCCGCGUGCGUGAUGACGGCCUUCUGGUUAUAAACCGCUUUCGCCUGUGACAAAGCGUGAGUGACGGUAAUGGGUAAAGAAGCACCGGCUAACUACGUG
rnacentral:rRNA from 1 species